AUUGAACGCUGGCGGCAGGCCUAACACAUGCAAGUCGAGCGGAUGAAGGGAGCUUGCUCCUGGAUUCAGCGGCGGACGGGUGAGUAAUGCCUAGGAAUCUGCCUGGUAGUGGGGGAUAACGUCCGGAAACGGGCGCUAAUACCGCAUACGUCCUGAGGGAGAAAGUGGGGGAUCUUCGGACCUCACGCUAUCAGAUGAGCCUAGGUCGGAUUAGCUAGUUGGUGGGGUAAAGGCCUACCAAGGCGACGAUCCGUAACUGGUCUGAGAGGAUGAUCAGUCACACUGGAACUGAGACACAGUCCAGACUCCUACGGGAGGCAGCAGUGGGGAAUAUUGGACAAUGGGCGAAAGCCUGAUCCAGUCAUGCCGCGUGUGUGAAGAAGGUCUUCGGAUUGUAAAGCACUUUAAGUUGGGAGGAAGGGCAGUAAGUUAAUACCUUGCUGUUUUGACGUUACCAACAGAAUAAGCACCGGCUAACUUCGUG
rnacentral:rRNA from 1 species